AAUGGAAGUAAAAGCGAAUAUUACUAAAGGUUUUGGAGUUAAUUAAAUAAAGACAAAAGAUGCAAGGACAACGAAUUAUGAACAUCUUCGAAAUACGUUUUUAAUAUUGUUUUGGCAUUUGAUUUGAUUUGAUUCUCCUUCCACAUUCCCUUGUUCAUAUGUGUUUGUGUCUCACGCAAGCACUACAUAAGCGGUCCCCCUAAAUACGUUUCUAGAAACGUCAACGUUUAUUCAAUCAUACCAAAAUUUACAUGUGUAUUCAUCAAUCAGCCGACCAUAAACUACAUGGUCCAUUAGUCAUUACCUAUACUGCAAUUUUUCUAGCUUUUAACAGCCAUUAUGUACUUCACAGUUUGGAAUACUGGUAUGACGAAGAAAAGUCGAGGUAAAAAACGUAUUAGAAUAAAUGUUUAUCGUCCAAAGAUCGCACCAGCAAAGAAUAAGAAACCUAAACCAACAAAGGAACAAUUAAUGGACCCUGAAUUUUCUGAUGAAGACGUACUUACCAGCUUGGGUUUUGAUGAUGGCGGUUACAUAAUACCACUACCGAAAAAAUCUCUCAUGUUGAUUAAUCUACCAGAUUCUUUUCGAGAUGAGUUGCAAACGAUGCAUGUCAGUUUUUAUCUCCGAGAAGUUGGCAAACUUAUGUUUGGGUGAGGACAAAUAUGCUCUAGUGAAUAGUACUAAGAAGUUGAUGCUUACAGAUGGUCUAGGACGGCUUCAUUUGUUUUGGAUGAAUUCAAUUUUUUUUCCGAAUCAGUAUUUGCGAAUGAGAUUUAUGUAGCCCUAGAUGUGAGAUUUAUGAAAGCUGGAAGUGCCAAAAAGAAAGGUGGAGAUUUUAAUUGUAACAAAAACGCACAGAGUCUUCUUUAUGAUUUUUUCUUGGUAGAUAUAGAUGAGGAGAUAUAUGGGUCAAAAUUUGAAGAGACGGAAGACCAAAAGAAGUGGAACAAAAAAUUUUGAAUUGAUUUGUCUUCAUCAUAUUGUGCUAUUAACAUUAAACACGAAAUAGAGCAUCUGAAUCUUGAAUUCUAUGGAAUCUCUAAAACGAAUAGACAGAUCUCCGCGGAGGAAGUGAAAUUCUCUACUCAUACUGCAUUCAAAAUUAAUUGAGUUUUUCAAUUACAUUGGAGGUUUAUCCUUUGAUACUUUCGGUUUGGUGAUUUGAAUGAAAUGUUGGUUUUGACAGAAAAAUGAAUAACACUUGCAUUAAAA
rnacentral:sRNA from 1 species